UUUGAAGAUGGAAGAAAGGGCCAUGAGCCAGGGAAUACAUGCCUUCUUAAGAAGCCAGAAGGGUUAACAGAAUGGAUGCAACUUUGGAACCACCAGAAGGAACACUAGCCCUGCCAACACCUUGAUCUUAGCACAGUGAGACUUGUAUCAGAAUUCUGGCCUCUGGAACCAUAAGAAGUGGGUGCUCAAAGAAGUUUGCAGAACAAAUGAGCAUUGAAAAGAUGGCCAGACAAGGAUUACCAGCCCAUUUGGAAGAAGAGGAAACUGAGGCUAGACAGGCUACACGAUGAAGCAGAUGCAAACCAUCUUCACCUGCACAUCCUCCAGCCAUUCAGCUUCAGGAUGGGAUUCAAGGCAGACUUCCAGCAGCCACUGCGGGCAGCUCUCUGUUGGGGACUGCCUCCAAGCUCACAUGACCACACAUCCAGGAGGCAUGGGCUGAAACUAAACCUCACCCCCUCCUUCAAGCAGCCUCAACAAUGACCCACCCCUAGCUUGUCCCUUAUCAGGUGGGAUCAUCCUAAGGCACAUGGCUCACACUCCUGGCACCCCUGGGGGUAGCUGUUGAGAUCAUGCACCUUCUCGCCUGUCUCACUUCCUUACUACACUGCGUGUGCUCCUCAAU
rnacentral:lncRNA from 1 species